GUGUGUUUUGUUCAACUCUGUCCAAGACACCAAGAACCUGGACCAUUCACAGUCAAGACCUUCCAUCCAGUAAAAUGAGAAUGGAACGUCCCGGUCUUGCCUGAAGACUCCGCAUGGAGGUCAUUUCACAUCAUUCCACACAAAGACACAGCUUCAGCAUCGAUCCUCCCCGAGGGCCAGCACUCCACAUUUAUCUUAACUUUUAUAGUUCUAAGGAACAAGGACCCUGAGUCUGUUUCUCAGCCCUGCUGCUAAUCAGAAUGCGAUGUUCCUAAUGAAGCCUAAAAUAAUGUUUUUAAAAGGACAUGAUUCUCCCCAGACCACACGACUCUUGUGAGUGACUGACCAAUGACAUCUCCAGCCCCUGUGAACAUUCUCCUGUCUCCUGAACAUGAUUACUGAGAAAAAUUCCUAAACUUUCCUUGCUUCAGGACAGCACCCAAUCCACAGCUGACACCACUUCCUCUGAUCUCUCCUUAGACUCACUGAGCAUAAGCACGAGCCCUAAACAAAGCCCCUUCUAGUCCCUCUUCCUGAGCUGCUCCUCUGUCCUCCAUAGCAUGCAGUCUCCCUUGCUACAGCAAGUUAAUAAAACUAACUUUGGGCCAGGUGCGGUGGCUCACACCUGUAAUCCCAGCACUUUGGGAGGCCGAGGUGGGAGGAUCACGAGGUCAGGAGUUCGAGCCUAGCCUGGCCAACAUGGUGAAACCCCGUCUCUAUUAAAAAUACAAAAAAAUUAGCCAGGCGUGGUGGUGCAUGCCUAUAAUCUUAGCUACUCAGGAGGCUGAGACAGAAGAAUUGCUUGAACCCAGGAGGCAGAGGUUGCAGUGAGCUGAGAUUGCACCACUGCACUCCAGCCUGGGUGACAGAGCGAGACUCUGUCUCAGGAAAAAAAAAAACAAAAAAACUUUGACCACAUGUGUAUUCCUGGUUGUCUUUUUCUGAUGGGCUUUAUCAUAAUAACUGGGUUCAAGCCAUUUCCUCUCCAUGAGGUCAAUUUGUAAACAGAUACUAAUUUCCAUAUGAUUACUACAUGCCAAGCACUAUGGUAUAUAAUUUGCGCUGCAUAUUUUAUUCAAUUUUUCGAGAAUCUGUGAAGAAGGUAUCAUUCCCUCAUUUUACAGAGGAGGAAACUAAGGCUCAAUAGUACACUGCUAAUAAACAAGAGGUGGAAUUAAA